GACCCAUUAGCACAGUUGGUUAGUGCGCCCGCGGAACGUGUUUUUCCGCCACCGGUCUCUUCUGCGGGAGACCCUCGUUCGAACCGAGGUUGGGUCA